UGGGGAAUUUUGCACAAUGGGGGAAACCCUGAUGCAGCGACGCCGCGUGAUUUAGAAGGCCUUCGGGUUGUAAAAAUCUUUUCUAUGGGAAGAAAAUGACAGUACCAUAGGAAUAAGGACCGGCUAAUUACGUGCCAGCAGCCGCGGUAAUACGUAAGGUCCGAGCGUUGUCCGGAAUCAUUGGGCGUAAAGGGUACGUAGGCGGUUAAGCAAGUUAGAAGUGAAAUCCUAUAGCUCAACUAUAGUAAGCUUUUAAAACUGCUCAUCUUGAGGUAUGGAAGGGAAAGUGGAAUUCCUAGUGUAGCGGUGAAAUGCGCAGAUAUUAGGAGGAAUACCGGUGGCGAAGGCGACUUUCUGGCCAUAACCUGACGCUGGGGUACGAAAGCGUGGGUAGCAAACAGG
rnacentral:rRNA from 1 species